UACGUAGGGUGCAAGCGUUGUCCGGAAUUAUUGGGCGUAAAGGGCUCGUAGGCGGUCCAUCGCGUCGGGAGUGAAACGCUGGGGCUCAACCCCAGUCCUGCCCUCGAUACGGGUGGACUAGAGGUAGGCAGGGGAGAAUGGAAUUCCUGGUGUAGCGGUGAAAUGCGCAGAUAUCAGGAGGAACACCGGUGGCGAAGGCGGUUCUCUGGGCCUUACCUGACGCUGAGGAGCGAAAGCGUGGGGAGCGAACAGG
rnacentral:rRNA from 1 species